rnacentral:rRNA from 1 species
ACUAAGCGUACACGGUGGAUGCCCUGGCAGUCAGAGGCGAUGAAGGACGUGCUAAUCUGCGAUAAGCGUCGGUAAGGUGAUAUGAACCGUUAUAACCGGCGAUUUCCGAAUGGGGAAACCCAGUGUGAUUCGUCACACUAUCAUUAACUGAAUCCAUAGGUUAAUGAGGCGAACCGGGGGAACUGAAACAUCUAAGUACCCCGAGGAAAAGAAAUCAACCGAGAUUCCCCAGUAGCGGCGAGCGAACGGGGAGGAGCCCAGAGCCUGAAUCAGUGUGUGUGUUAGUGGAAGCGUCUGGAAAGGCGCGCGAUACAGGGUGACAGCCCCGUACACAAAAAUGCACAUAUUGUGAGCUCGAUGAGUAGGGCGGGACACGUGGUAUCCUGUCUGAAUAUGGGGGGACCAUCCUCCAAGGCUAAAUACUCCUGACUGACCGAUAGUGAACCAGUACCGUGAGGGAAAGGCGAAAAGAACCCCGGCGAGGGGAGUGAAAAAGAACCUGAAACCGUGUACGUACAAGCAGUGGGAGCACGCUUAGGCGUGUGACUGCGUACCUUUUGUAUAAUGGGUCAGCGACUUAUAUUCUGUAGCAAGGUUAACCGAAUAGGGGAGCCGAAGGGAAACCGAGUCUUAACUGGGCGUUAAGUUGCAGGGUAUAGACCCGAAACCCGGUGAUCUAGCCAUGGGCAGGUUGAAGGUUGGGUAACACUAACUGGAGGACCGAACCGACUAAUGUUGAAAAAUUAGCGGAUGACUUGUGGCUGGGGGUGAAAGGCCAAUCAAACCGGGAGAUAGCUGGUUCUCCCCGAAAGCUAUUUAGGUAGCGCCUCGUGAAUUCAUCUCCGGGGGUAGAGCACUGUUUCGGCAAGGGGGUCAUCCCGACUUACCAACCCGAUGCAAACUGCGAAUACCGGAGAAUGUUAUCACGGGAGACACACGGCGGGUGCUAACGUCCGUCGUGAAGAGGGAAACAACCCAGACCGCCAGCUAAGGUCCCAAAGUCAUGGUUAAGUGGGAAACGAUGUGGGAAGGCCCAGACAGCCAGGAUGUUGGCUUAGAAGCAGCCAUCAUUUAAAGAAAGCGUAAUAGCUCACUGGUCGAGUCGGCCUGCGCGGAAGAUGUAACGGGGCUAAACCAUGCACCGAAGCUGCGGCAGCGACGCUGAUGCGUUGUUGGGUAGGGGAGCGUUCUGUAAGCCUGCGAAGGUGUGCUGUGAGGCAUGCUGGAGGUAUCAGAAGUGCGAAUGCUGACAUAAGUAACGAUAAAGCGGGUGAAAAGCCCGCUCGCCGGAAGACCAAGGGUUCCUGUCCAACGUUAAUCGGGGCAGGGUGAGUCGACCCCUAAGGCGAGGCCGAAAGGCGUAGUCGAUGGGAAACAGGUUAAUAUUCCUGUACUUGGUGUUACUGCGAAGGGGGGACGGAGAAGGCUAUGUUGGCCGGGCGACGGUUGUCCCGGUUUAAGCGUGUAGGCUGGUUUUCCAGGCAAAUCCGGAAAAUCAAGGCUGAGGCGUGAUGACGAGGCACUACGGUGCUGAAGCAACAAAUGCCCUGCUUCCAGGAAAAGCCUCUAAGCAUCAGGUAACAUCAAAUCGUACCCCAAACCGACACAGGUGGUCAGGUAGAGAAUACCAAGGCGCUUGAGAGAACUCGGGUGAAGGAACUAGGCAAAAUGGUGCCGUAACUUCGGGAGAAGGCACGCUGAUAUGUAGGUGAGGUCCCUCGCGGAUGGAGCUGAAAUCAGUCGAAGAUACCAGCUGGCUGCAACUGUUUAUUAAAAACACAGCACUGUGCAAACACGAAAGUGGACGUAUACGGUGUGACGCCUGCCCGGUGCCGGAAGGUUAAUUGAUGGGGUUAGCGCAAGCGAAGCUCUUGAUCGAAGCCCCGGUAAACGGCGGCCGUAACUAUAACGGUCCUAAGGUAGCGAAAUUCCUUGUCGGGUAAGUUCCGACCUGCACGAAUGGCGUAAUGAUGGCCAGGCUGUCUCCACCCGAGACUCAGUGAAAUUGAACUCGCUGUGAAGAUGCAGUGUACCCGCGGCAAGACGGAAAGACCCCGUGAACCUUUACUAUAGCUUGACACUGAACAUUGAGCCUUGAUGUGUAGGAUAGGUGGGAGGCUUGGAAGUGUGGACGCCAGUCUGCAUGGAGCCGACCUUGAAAUACCACCCUUUAAUGUUUGAUGUUCUAACGUUGACCCGUAAUCCGGGUUGCGGACAGUGUCUGGUGGGUAGUUUGACUGGGGCGGUCUCCUCCUAAAGAGUAACGGAGGAGCACGAAGGUUGGCUAAUCCUGGUCGGACAUCAGGAGGUUAGUGCAAUGGCAUAAGCCAGCUUGACUGCGAGCGUGACGGCGCGAGCAGGUGCGAAAGCAGGUCAUAGUGAUCCGGUGGUUCUGAAUGGAAGGGCCAUCGCUCAACGGAUAAAAGGUACUCCGGGGAUAACAGGCUGAUACCGCCCAAGAGUUCAUAUCGACGGCGGUGUUUGGCACCUCGAUGUCGGCUCAUCACAUCCUGGGGCUGAAGUAGGUCCCAAGGGUAUGGCUGUUCGCCAUUUAAAGUGGUACGCGAGCUGGGUUUAGAACGUCGUGAGACAGUUCGGUCCCUAUCUGCCGUGGGCGCUGGAGAACUGAGGGGGGCUGCUCCUAGUACGAGAGGACCGGAGUGGACGCAUCACUGGUGUUCGGGUUGUCAUGCCAAUGGCACUGCCCGGUAGCUAAAUGCGGAAGAGAUAAGUGCUGAAAGCAUCUAAGCACGAAACUUGCCCCGAGAUGAGUUCUCCCUGACUCCUUGAGAGUCCUGAAGGAACGUUGAAGACGACGACGUUGAUAGGCCGGGUGUGUAAGCGCAGCGAUGCGUUGAGCUAACCGGUACUAAUGAACCGUGAGGCUUAACC